AGUGAACGCUGGCGGUAGGCCUAACACAUGCAAGUCGAACGGCAGCACAGUAAGAGCUUGCUCUUACGGGUGGCGAGUGGCGGACGGGUGAGGAAUACAUCGGAAUCUACUUUUUCGUGGGGGAUAACGUAGGGAAACUUACGCUAAUACCGCAUACGACCUACGGGUGAAAGCAGGGGAUCUUCGGACCUUGCGCGAUUGAAUGAGCCGAUGUCGGAUUAGCUAGUUGGCGGGGUAAAGGCCCACCAAGGCGACGAUCCGUAGCUGGUCUGAGAGGAUGAUCAGCCACACUGGAACUGAGACACGGUCCAGACACCUACGGGAGGCAGCAGUGGGGAAUAUUGGACAAUGGGCGCAAGCCUGAUCCAGCCAUACCGCGUGGGUGAAGAAGGCCUUCGGGUUGUAAAGCCCUUUUGUUGGGAAAGAAAAGCAGCAGGUUAAUACCCCGCUGUUCUGACGGUACCCAAAGAAUAAGCACCGGCUAACUGCGU
rnacentral:rRNA from 1 species